GAUGAACGCUGGCGGCGUGCCUAAUACAUGCAAGUCGAGCGAACGGACGAGAAGCUUGCUUCUCUGAUGUUAGCGGCGGACGGGUGAGUAACACGUGGAUAACCUACCUAUAAGACUGGGAUAACUUCGGGAAACCGUAGCUAAUACCGGAUAAUAUUUUGAACCGCAUGGUUCAAAAGUGAAAGACGGUCUUGCUGUCACUUAUAGAUGGAUCCGCGCUGCAUUAGCUAGUUGGUAAGGAAACGGCUUACCAAGGCAACGAUGCAUAGCCGACCUGAGAGGGUGAUCGGCCACACUGGAACUGAGACACGGUCCAGACUCCUACGGGAGGCAGCAGUAGGGAAUCUUCCGCAAUGGGCGAAAGCCUGACGGAGCAACGCCGCGUGAGUGAUGAAGGUCUUCGGAUCGUAAAACUCUGUUAUUAGGGAAGAACAUAUGUGUAAGUAACUGUGCACAUCUUGGCGGUACCUAAUCAGAAAGCCACGGCUAACUACGUG
rnacentral:rRNA from 1 species